rnacentral:tRNA from 1 species
GGUGUAGCUCAGUGGUAGAGCGUCUGCUUUGCAUGCAGGAGGUCCUGGGUUCAAUACCUCCACC